UACGGAGGAUCCAAGCGUUAUCCGGAUUUAUUGGGUUUAAAGGGUGCGUAGGCGGCCUGUUAAGUCAGGGGUGAAAGACGGUAGCUCAACUAUCGCAGUGCCCUUGAUACUGAUGGGCUUGAAUGGACUAGAGGUAGGCGGAAUGUGACAAGUAGCGGUGAAAUGCAUAGAUAUCAAGAGGAACACCUGAGGUGAAGACGGGUUGCUGGGCUGAUACUGACGCUGAGGCGCAAAAGCUAGGGUAGCAAACGGG
rnacentral:rRNA from 1 species